AGUUAAGUGACUAAGCGUACACGGUGGAUGCCUAGGCAAUCAGAGGCGAAGAAGGACGUGCUAAUCUGCGAAAAGCUUGGAUGAGUUGAUAAGAAGCGUUUAAUCCAAGAUAUCCGAAUGGGGAAACCCGAUGGAUGAAGAAUCCAUCAUUUCAUUAUGAAUCCAUAGUAAUGAAAGGCAAACCGGGAGAACUGAAACAUCUAAGUACCCCGAGGAAAAGAAAUCAAUCGAGAUUUUGUAAGUAGCGGCGAGCGAAAGCGAAAGAGCCAGUGAGUGAUAGCAGCAAAGACAGAAGAAUUGGCUGGGAAGCCAAGCGACACAGGGUGAUAGCCCCGUAUUCGAAGUUUUUGUUGUGGUACUAAGCUUGCAACAAGUAGGGCGGGACACGAGAAAUCCUGUUUGAAGAUGGGGGGACCAUCCUCCAAGGCUAAAUACUCCUGAUUGACCGAUAGUGAACCAGUACUGUGAAGGAAAGGCGAAAAGAACCCCAGUGAGGGGAGUGAAAUAGAACCUGAAACCGUGUACGUACAAGCAGUGGGAGCCCUUUGGGGUGACUGCGUACCUUUUGUAUAAUGGGUCAGCGACUUAUAUUUUGUAGCGAGGUUAACUGAAUAAGGGAGCCGAAGGGAAACCGAGUCUUAACUGGGCGGAUAGUUGCAAGGUAUAGACCCGAAACCCGGUGAUCUAGCCAUGGGCAGGUUGAAGGUUGGGUAACACUAACUGGAGGACCGAACCGACUAAUGUUGAAAAAUUAGCGGAUGACUUGUGGCUGGGGGUGAAAGGCCAAUCAAACCGGGAGAUAGCUGGUUCUCCCCGAAAUCUAUUUAGGUAGAGCCUUAUGUGAAUACCUUCGGGGGUAGAGCACUGUUUCGGCUAGGGGUCCAUCCCGGAUUACCAACCCGAUGCAAACUGCGAAUACCGAAGAGUAAUGCAUAGGAGACACACGGUGGGUGCUAACGUCCAUCGUGGAGAGGGAAACAACCCAGACCGCCAGCUAAGGUCCCAAAGUCUAUAUUAAGUGGGAAACGAAGUGGGAAGGCUUAGACAGCUAGGAUGUUGGCUUAGAAGCAGCCAUCAUUUAAAGAAAGCGUAAUAGCUCACUAGUCGAGUCGGCCUGCGCGGAAGAUGUAACGGGGCUAAAAUAUAGCACCGAAGCUGCGGCAUCAGACGUAUCACUAAUACGCCUUACGAUUAACAACAUCGAAUGAAGUGAAACGGAAAGAGAUGUUGGUCAAGCAACCCGAACGUUGAGUCGGAAAGUAAUCGAAGAGAGGAUUAUUAGUGAUACGUCUGUUGGGUAGGGGAGCGUUGUGUAAGCGGAUGAAGGUGAAUCGAGAGGUUUGCUGGACGUAUCACAAGUGCGAAUGCUGACAUAAGUAACGAUAAAACGAGUGAAAAACUCGUUCGCCGGAAGACCAAGGGUUCCUGUCCAACGUUAAUCGGGGCAGGGUGAGUCGGCCCCUAAGGCGAGGCUGAAAAGCGUAGUCGAUGGGAAACGGGUUAAUAUUCCCGUACUUGGCUNNNNNNNNNNNNNNNNNNNNNNNNNNNNNNNNNNNNNNNNNNNNNNNNNNNNNNNNNNNNNNNNNNNNNNNNNNNNNNNNNNNNNNNNNNNNNNNNCUAAACCGUACUGAAAACCGACACAGGUGGUCAGGUAGAGAAUACUCAGGCGCUUGAGAGAACUCGGGUGAAGGAACUAGGCAAAAUAGCACCGUAACUUCGGGAGAAGGUGCGCUGGCGUAGGUUGUAGGAGUAUACCUCCGAAGGCUGAACCAGUCGAAGAUACCAGCUGGCUGCAACUGUUUAUUAAAAACACAGCACUCUGCAAACACGAAAGUGGACGUAUAGGGUGUGAUGCCUGCCCGGUGCUGGAAGGUUAAUUGAUGGUGUUAUCGAAAGAGAAGCUCCUGAUCGAAGCCCCAGUAAACGGCGGCCGUAACUAUAACGGUCCUAAGGUAGCGAAAUUCCUUGUCGGGUAAGUUCCGACCUGCACGAAUGGCAUAAUGAUGGCCAGGCUGUCUCCACCCGAGACUCAGUGAAAUUGAAAUCGCCGUGAAGAUGCGGUGUACCCGCGGCUAGACGGAAAGACCCCGUGAACCUUUACUAUAGCUUGACACUGAACAUUGAAUUUUGAUGUGUAGGAUAGGUGGGAGCCUAAGAAGCAGUCACGCCAGUGAUUGUGGAGGCGUCCUUGAAAUACCACCCUUUAACGUUUGAUGUUCUAACGAAGAUUGCGAAACGCGGUCUCGGACAGUGUCUGGUGGGUAGUUUGACUGGGGCGGUCUCCUCCCAAAGAGUAACGGAGGAGCACGAAGGUUUGCUAAUCACGGUCGGACAUCGUGAGGUUAGUGCAAUGGUAUAAGCAAGCUUAACUGCGAGACAGACAAGUCGAGCAGGUGCGAAAGCAGGUCAUAGUGAUCCGGUGGUUCUGAAUGGAAGGGCCAUCGCUCAACGGAUAAAAGGUACUCCGGGGAUAACAGGCUGAUACCGCCCAAGAGUUCAUAUCGACGGCGGUGUUUGGCACCUCGAUGUCGGCUCAUCACAUCCUGGGGCUGAAGUAGGUCCCAAGGGUAUGGCUGUUCGCCAUUUAAAGUGGUACGCGAGCUGGGUUUAGAACGUCGUGAGACAGUUCGGUCCCUAUCUGCCGUGGGCGUUGGAGAAUUGAGAGGGGCUGCUCCUAGUACGAGAGGACCGGAGUGGACGCAUCACUGGUGUACCAGUUGUCUCGCCAGAGGCACUGCUGGGUAGCUAAAUGCGGAAGAGAUAAGUGCUGAAAGCAUCUAAGCACGAAACUC
rnacentral:rRNA from 1 species